AGGAUUUACUGACGCUGAUGCACGAAAGCGUGGGGAUCAAACAGGAUUAGAUACCCUGGUAGUCCACGCCGUAAACGAUGAUAACUCGCUGUUGGCGAUACACAGUCAGCGGCUUAGCGAAAGCGUUAAGUUAUCCACCUGGGGAGUACGCUCGCAAGAGUGAAACUCAAAGGAAUUGACGGGGGCCCGCACAAGCGGAGGAACAUGUGGCUUAAUUCGAUGAUACGCGAGGAACCUUACCUGGGCUUAAAUGUGCUAUGACCGCUGGAGAAAUUCGGCUUUUCGCAAGAACAGAGUACAAGGUGCUGCAUGGUUGUCGUCAGCUCGUGCCGUGAGGUGUCGGGUUAAGUCCCAUAACGAGCGCAACCCUUAUUGUCAGUUGCUAACAGGUUAAGCUGAGGACUCUGGCGAGACUGCCACCGUAAGGUGUGAGGAAGGUGGGGAUGACGUCAAAUCAGCACGGCCCUUAUGUCCAGGGCUACACACGUGUUACAAUGGCCGAUACAAAGGGCAGCUACCGGGCGACCGGAUGCUAAUCUCCAAAGUCGGUCUCAGUUCGGAUCGGAGUCUGCAACCCGACUCCGUGAAGCUGGAUUCGCUAGUAAUCGCGCAUCAGCCAUGGCGCGGUGAAUACGUUCCCGGGCCUUGUACACACCGCCCGUCAAGCCAUGGGAGUUGGGGGUACCUGAAGUAUGUGACCGCGAGGAGCGUCCUAGGGUAAAACCAAUGACUGGGG
rnacentral:rRNA from 1 species